ensembl:snoRNA
UGCCUGUGUCUCCCAUUCACUUUGGAAAGUAGUAAAUAUGCUGUCAAAAAGGGUAAAAAUUAUGACAGGU